rnacentral:rRNA from 1 species
UACGUAGGGGGCAAGCGUUGUCCGGAUUUAUUGGGCGUAAAGAGCGUGUAGGCGGCCUGACAGGUCUGCUGUGAAAACUCGAGGCUCAACCUCGAGAUGUCGGCGGAAACCGUCUGGCUAGAGUCCGGAAGAGGAGAGUGGAAUUCCUGGUGUAGCAGUGAAAUGCGUAGAUAUCAGGAGGAACACCGAUGGCGAAGGCAGGUCUCUGGGCUGACACUGACGCUCAUGCACGAAAGCGUGGGGAGCAAACAGG